rnacentral:rRNA from 1 species
UACGAAGGGGGCUAGCGUUGCUCGGAAUUACUGGGCGUAAAGGGCGCGUAGGCGGCACAUACAGUCAGGCGUGAAAUUCCUGGGCUCAACCUGGGGGCUGCGCUUGAUACGUGUGAGCUAGAGGACGGAAGAGGCUCGUGGAAUUCCCAGUGUAGAGGUGAAAUUCGUAGAUAUUGGGAAGAACACCGGUGGCGAAGGCGGCGAGCUGGUCCGUAACUGACGCUGAGGCGCGACAGCGUGGGGAGCAAACAGG